rnacentral:tRNA from 1 species
GGACGGGUAGCUCAGUAGGUAAGAGCACUCACCCUGUAAGCGAGGGGUCCCGGGUUCGAUUCCUGGUCUGGUCG